AGGAAGUGCUCUCAGACUCCACGCCCGUGGGAGUAGUGAGAGGCAUAGGAUGGGACAGAAGGAGAUGCUAAACAGUGAUGCAGAAGCAGCGAAGACCUCCGCAAUCCUGCAGGGAAGCUUGGGAGCUGGUACGGCCCUGCAGAGAUGCACUGAGCCUGACUGCUGCUGGAGCCCAGUGUGAGUCCUGGCAGAAGAAAUCUGCAAACCCUAGUCAGAUGUGUUUCAGCUUUGCAGUGGAUGGUAGGGCCACCCUCCCGUUGGGGUCAGGUCAGAGGACAUGACUCUUUAACAUUACUGAAAUUACAAGUUUCUUGAAUACAAGAUGAAGGAAGAGGUCAAAUAUCAAGUAGGAAGCCAAGCUGCCAUGUUGUAAGCUGCCCUAUGAAGGGACCCACAUGGCAAAGAAUGGAGAAUGACCCCAGCCAGCCAAGAACUCUCAGCCUACCGGCCCAUGAGGAACUGAAUCCUGCCAACAGCGAUGUGAGUGAACUUGGAAGUGGAUCCUUCUCCAGUGGCACCAUCAGGUGAGACUAUAGCCCCAGCCAACAUGGGAGUUGUUUCAGAAGAAAGGAAGUAUUAAGCCAGAUGCUUUACAGACUUUAUCUUGGACCUCAAAUUCAUUCUGUGAGAUACAUGUUGGUAUCUCCAUUGUGUAGAUAAGAAAACCAAGACUCAAAAAGGUGAAAACUUACUAAAUGUCAUAUGAUGAAUGAAUAGAAGAGAGGGGAUUUGAACUCAGGACUGAUAACACAAAAGCCCACACUCUGGUUAUUGCAGAAAUAUACUGUGUUUUUAUUUCCACGUUUCCAUCAGAACUUAAAAAUAAAAAUGGACAGUUGCUCAAUUAUCCCACUAACAAACAUAUGGCAGCAGCAAGAACUGGGACCACAGCACCAUGCUAACCAAGGCCAGGCCUUCCCUGAGUUGGUAUACACUCCCGUACAGCAGCAUCAGAAGCUGCUCAGAGCCUGCAACAUCCUCUUGAGGCAGAAUCCUCCAUGUGCAAAGUGAUCUAAUGGUCAGUUUUUAAAAGAAAAUAGCUGAAUCUGAUGCCAGUAUGGGCUAAGUACUACUUCUAAGAACCUUACAUGUCUUAACUCACUUAAACAAUCCUACAAGAAAGGCACUAUUAUAGUCAUCCAAUUUACGGAUGAGGAGACCAAGGCACAGAGAAUUUAGAUAAUUUUCUCCCAGACAUUCAGCUAUAAGGAGCAGAGCCAGGAUUUAAACUCUGACAAUUUGUCUCCACAGUCGCAUACAAGACCCCCAGAAUUCUCUCCUUGGUCCCAGGCUAUCAUGUUGCCUGGGUUCCCAAUACAGCACUGGGUGUAGCUGGCCUUGGUUCCAGGCCUUCACCUUCUGGAUUCAACCUGGCUACCAACACCCUUGAUUCUGACUUUCUCCAUUCACCUCCUCGUUCCCAGUUCCCAGCUAGCCCUUUCUGCCUUGACCCCAUCUGCCCUGGCUCUUAAGCUGUUCACACCUGCAUCCCAUCCCAUGCCUGCACCCCAGCCCUCACCUGCCUCCUGACCUGUCUUACAGCUCACCAUCCAGCCCGCCUGAGGCUCUGCCCACUGACAGGCUACUCCCAGGACAAUACUAGCUCCCCAGGACAAGCACUACACCCAGACGGCAUGUCAUUCAACAAGUCGGGGGCAGGCUUAAGGUGAAAAAUCAUCCCAAUUCUGGAGAUAUUAUCUGAAAAAAAAAGACUGUUUUCAGGAAACAAUCUUCCCAUCUGUGGUGAUUUUUAAAAUAUAGUUCCCAAAUUUUAUGUGGGAAAGGAAAGUAGCAAUAUAGAUGCAGGAAGAGCAUUACUGUGUGGAUAAAAAGAUGAUGUAUGCAAAUGAACAUGCUCAGCCUAGAACUUAAAUUAAAGUUACUGCCUGAUAUGGUAGGUACUGUGGUCUGAAUGUGUCCCCCAGAGUUCAUGUGUUGGAAACUUAAUCUCCAGUGCAACAAUGUUGAGCAAUGGAACCUUUAAGAAGUGACUGGGUCAGGAGAGUUCUGCCCUCAUGAAUGAAUUAAUGUCAUUAUUGCAAGAGUUAGUUAUUGCAGGAGUAGGUUCCUGAUUAAAAAGUGAGUCCACCCCCACUUCUCUCUCUUUUUCUGUCACGCACAUAUGCACUCUCUUGCCCUUCUACCUUCCACCAUGUGAUGACACAGCAAGAAGGCCCUCACCAGAUGCAGGCCUCUCAACCUUGGACUUUCCAGCCUCCAGAAUUGUAAGAAAUAAAUCUCUAUUCUUUAUAAAUUACCUAGUCUCUGGCAUUCUGUUACAGCAGCACAAAAUGAAUUAAGACAGUAGGAAAGAUCAUUGACACUGUUACAGACCUCUAAGGCAUGAUGAAAAAGCAAAUAUGCCCAUGUUUAUGCAAAUAGCAGAGUCAGUUAAAGAGGCCAUAACAUUGAUCAUAUGGGACUUCAAUAGCCCUGAAAUGGAUUAGAACAAGAAUUAUGGGAUGGUAAGGAGAGGCCACAGAGCUAGCAGUGAUCAGAAGCUCUUUUCCAGGAGACUUUGUUGAGCAAUCAAAAAGAUCAUGGGCUAUUGGGGGCAGCUAUCUGAAAAGUUGAAUGCAAUGAAGGAUGAAGGAUGGGGCUAAAAUGCUAAAAGCAGCGUUUUCAACCAAGUUGCAUUUCAAUUUAGUCUUCCCAUCUGUGGUGAUUUUAAAAAUAUAGUUCCCAAAUUGCCGGUAGCAUCUGGGGAGCAGGGUCUGUGGGCAGACACCUGCUCACCAGUGAACAUUUGGAAUGACAUUUCUGGAGGGAGGUGUCAUUGUGGCUUAGAGAUUAAUCCAUAAAGAAGACAGACUUAGGGAAUCCCAGAGUAGCAGAGCUGGGAAGCCCUCGAAGAUAACAGAGCCAAACUGCCCAGAGAGGGUAAGUGACAUACUCAAUGUCACACAGCCAGUAAUUAAUGGAGAAGGGGCUGGAACUCCACUUUUCUAAGUCUCUGUUUAGGACUGCAACAUCCCCUGGAGUGAGUGAAAGGAAAGUUCUCGAAGGAAUCUCCUCAAAAGGGAUGUAGAAUAAGAGUGAAGUUGUUGCCUCAGAAAAAAAAAAAAGUGAAAAAUGAAUAACGAUUGAUAAAUUCAGAUCUCCAUUCUCGUCAGAAAAUAAAAUUUCUGGUAAUUAUUAUCCCUCACUACCUUAGAGAAAACAAGAAGAAUGAAGAUUGUCCUAACACAAUUAUGUAAAGGCAAGUCUAAGAAAGGAGAAGGAGUUGAUUCCCAUGUAGAAGUCAACCAUCUAGGCUAACUGUUCAUCCCACCCCAAUGCCUCAAACCCAGGCUGCCCACCUAUUUAUCACACUUUUGCAGGUCUGUGAAAGUCAGCAACAAAUACCGUAUCUAUUCCAGGAGAUUGUCCUAGAGCCUCCUCAAUUUCUCUGUGGACACUAUGCCUGCUCUUGUCUCCCUGGUUCUGAUUUCCAUGUCUGCUGCCAGUUUUAACAUUGUUCCUGGCCUUCUCAUAUUAGUCACCUAAGCCCCUCCUCUUGGGCCUUGGGUCUCAGCCUCAUCUCAUCCUAACACUUCCUACUAACCUGGUGAGAAGCUCCCUGCUCUAGCUAUAGCCCGCUAAGCCUGUAUGCUGGCCUAGCUCCCAGAUGCUCUCAAGUAAAAACAAAAAAGUAGACAUUUUGUCUUGAACCCUAAGUUUCCAUGCUGGGGGGAGGGAUAAGAUUAUGACCACUAUCCAUACCCCAUCUCUUGAGAAUUUGGAGCUGUGGGACGAAAAAGAAGAACCAGAGAGUUGGCUGCAGCUGGCAGAAGAAAAAGGACAGAUGGUUCCCCACAGGAAAGGCACCAUCGGCUGAAGUACCAGCCUCACUCCUGUGGCUCCUACCUGCCAUGGUGCAGGUGCAUGUGUAUGCAUGUGUGUGUGCAUGUGUGUAUGUGUCGCCACCCUGUGAUACAGGGUUGCAAGCCCCACCUGCUUGGGCCUAUGCAAAGACCUACCAAAAAAUUCUCUCAUUUGC
rnacentral:lncRNA from 1 species